CCUACGGGAGGCAGCAGUGAGGAAUAUUGGUCAAUGGCCGAGAGGCUGAACCAGCCAAGUCGCGUGAAGGAAGACGGCCCUACGGGUUGUAAACCUCUGUUGUGGGGGAGCAAAGCGAGUCACGUGGGACGCAUUGAGAGUACCCGAAGAAAAAGCAUCGGCUAACUCCGUGCCAGCAGCCGCGGUAAUACGGAGGAUGCGAGCGUUAUCCGGAUUUCUUGGGUUUAAAGGGUGCGCAGGCGGAGGUGCAAGUCAGCGGUCAAAUUGCGGGGCUCAACCCCGUACUGCCGUUGAAACUGCAUCCCUUGAGUGCGCGAGAAGUAUGCGGAAUGCGUGGUGUAGCGGUGAAAUGCAUAGAUAUCACGCAGAACUCCGAUUGCGACGGCAGCAUACCGGCGCGCAACUGACGCUCAUGCACGAAAGCGUGGGUAUCGAACAGGAUUAGAUACCCUUGUAGUC
rnacentral:rRNA from 1 species